UACGUAGGGGGCAAGCGUUGUCCGGAAUCAUUGGGCGUAAAGCGCGUGUAGGCGGCUUGGCAAGUCGGCUGUGAAAGUCCAGGGCUCAACCCUGGGAUGCCGGUCGAUACUGCCGGACUAGAGUUCGGAAGAGGCGAGUGGAAUUCCCGGUGUAGCGGUGAAAUGCGCAGAUAUCGGGAGGAACACCUAUGGCGAAGGCAGCUCGCUGGGACGUUACUGACGCUGAGACGCGAAAGCGUGGGGAGCAAACAGG
rnacentral:rRNA from 1 species